rnacentral:rRNA from 1 species
GUUAUAGGAUCAAGCGACUAAGUGCAUAUGGUGGAUGCCUUGGCGAUCACAGGCGAUGAAGGACGUAGUAGCCUGCGAAAAGCUACGGGGAGCUGGCAAACAAGCUUUGAUCCGUAGAUGUCCGAAUGGGGAAACCCACCGCAGCAAUGCGGUAUCCCUAGCUGAAUACAUAGGCUAGUGGAAGCGAACCGGGUGAACUGAAACAUCUCAGUAGCUCGAGGAAAAGAAAUCAACCGAGAUUCCGAAAGUAGUGGCGAGCGAAAUCGGAAGAGCCUUUACGUUUUAGCAUGCAAGAUAAUCGAAGGGGAUGGAAAGCCCCGCCGUAGCAGGUGAUAGCCCUGUAGAUGAAAUUUUGUGUGUGGAACUAAGCGUAAGAAAAGUAGGGCGGGACACGUGAAAUCCUGUUUGAAGAUGGGGGGACCAUCCUCCAAGGCUAAAUACUCGUGAUCGACCGAUAGUGAACCAGUACCGUGAGGGAAAGGCGAAAAGAACCCCGGAAGGGGAGUGAAAUAGAUCCUGAAACCGUAUGCAUACAAACAGUAGGAGCCUCCUUGUGGGGUGACUGCGUACCUUUUGUAUAAUGGGUCAGCGACUUACAUUCAGUGGCAAGGUUAACCGAAUAGGGAAGCCGUAGCGAAAGCGAGUCCGAAUAGGGCGAUUCAGUCGCUGGGUGUAGACCCGAAACCAGAUGAUCUAUCCAUGGCCAGGUUGAAGGCACGGUAACACGUGCUGGAGGACCGAACCCACUAAUGUUGAAAAAUUAGGGGAUGAGCUGUGGAUAGGGGUGAAAGGCUAAACAAAUCUGGAAAUAGCUGGUUCUCUCCGAAAACUAUUUAGGUAGUGCCUCAAGUAUUACUGCGGGGGGUAGAGCACUGUUAUAGCUAGGGGGUCAUGGCGACUUACCAAACUAUGGCAAACUCCGAAUACCCGCAAGUACAGCUUGGGAGACAGAGCACCGGGUGCUAACGUCCGGACUCAAGAGGGAAACAACCCAGACCGCCAGCUAAGGUCCCGAAUUAUCGCUAAGUGGGAAACGAAGUGGGAAGGCAUAGACAGUCAGGAGGUUGGCUUAGAAGCAGCCAUCCUUUAAAGAAAGCGUAAUAGCUCACUGAUCGAGUCGUCCUGCGCGGAAGAUGUAACGGGGCUAAGCGAUAAACCGAAGCUGCGGGUGUGCACUUUUAGUGCACGCGGUAGGAGAGCGUUCUGUAAGCCUGCGAAGGUGGCUUGUAAAGGCUGCUGGAGGUAUCAGAAGUGCGAAUGCUGACAUGAGUAGCGAUAAAGGGGGUGAAAAGCCCCCUCGCCGUAAGUCCAAGGUUUCCUGCGCAACGUUCAUCGGCGCAGGGUGAGUCGGCCCCUAAGGCGAGGCAGAGAUGCGUAGCUGAUGGGAAACUGGUUAAUAUUCCAGUACCGUCGUACAGUGCGAUGGGGGGACGGAUCGCGGAAGAUCAUCAGGGUGUUGGAUGUCCCUGUUGCUGUAUCGAAGAUGGCGCUUAGGCAAAUCCGGGCGCGUAAAUCAAGGGUAUGGCACGAGCGAGCAUUGCUUGCGAAGUGAUUGGAAGUGGUUCCAAGAAAAGCCUCUAAGCUUCAGCUGUACGAGACCGUACCGCAAACCGACACAGGUGGACGGGAUGAAUAUUCCAAGGCGCUUGAGAGAACUCAGGAGAAGGAACUCGGCAAAUUGAUACCGUAACUUCGGGAGAAGGUAUACCCCGGUAGUGUGAAGCGCCUGCGCGCUUAGCAUGAUGGGGUCGCAGAGAAUCGGUGGCUGCGACUGUUUAUUAAAAACACAGCACUCUGCAAAGACGAAAGUCGACGUAUAGGGUGUGACGCCUGCCCGGUGCCGGAAGGUUAAGUGAUGGGGUGCAAGCUCUUGAUCGAAGCCCCGGUAAACGGCGGCCGUAACUAUAACGGUCCUAAGGUAGCGAAAUUCCUUGUCGGGUAAGUUCCGACCUGCACGAAUGGCGUAACGA